rnacentral:rRNA from 1 species
GUUGGCCUACGGGACGCAGCAGUGGGGAAUAUUGGGCAAUGGGCGCAAGCCUGACCCAGCAACGCCGCGUGAAGGAAGAAGGCUUUCGGAUUGUAAACUCCUUUUAUCAGGGACGAUAAUGACGGUACCUGAAGAAAAAGCUCCGGCUAACUACGUGCCAGCAGCCGCGGUAAUACGUAGGGAGCGAGCGUUGUCCGGAAUUACUGGGUGUAAAGGGAGCGUAGGCGGGACGGCAAGUCAGAUGUGAAAACUGAGGACUCAACCUUCAGACUGCAUUUGAAACUGCUGUUCUUGAGUGAAGUAGG